rnacentral:rRNA from 1 species
CAGCAGCCGCGGUAAUACGUAGGGUGCGAGCGUUGUCCGGAAUUACUGGGCGUAAAGAGCUCGUAGGUGGUUUGUCGCGUCGUCUGUGAAAUUCCGGGGCUUAACUCCGGGCGUGCAGGCGAUGCGGGCAUAACUUGAGUACUGUAGGGGAGACUGGAAUUCCUGGUGUAGCGGUGAAAUGCGCAGAUAUCAGGAGGAACACCGGUGGCGAAGGCGGGUCUCUGGGCAGUAACUGACGCUGAGGAGCGAAAGCAUGGGGAGCGAACAGGAUUAGAUACCCUGGUAGUCCAUGCCGUAAACGGUGGGUGCUAGGUGUGGGUUUCCUUCCACGGGAUCCGUGCCGUAGCUAACGCAUUAAGCGCCCCGCCUGGGGAGUACGGCCGCAAGGCUAAAACUCAAAGGAAUUGACGGGGGCCCGCACAAGCGGCGGAGCAUGUGGAUUAAUUCGAUGCAACGCGAAGAACCUUACCUGGGCUUGACAUAUACAGGAUCGCGCCAGAGAUGGUGUUUCCCUUGUGGCUUGUAUACAGGUGGUGCAUGGUUGUCGUCAGCUCGUGUCGUGAGAUGUUGGGUUAAGUCCCGCAACGAGCGCAACCCUUGUCUUAUGUUGCCAGCACGUUGUGGUGGGGACUCGUAAGAAACUGCCGGGGUUAACUCGGAGGAAGGUGGGGAUGACGUCAAAUCAUCAUGCCCCUUAUGUCCAGGGCUUCACACAUGCUACAAUGGUCGGUACAGUGGGUUGCCAGUCCGUGAGGGCGAGCUAAUCCCGCAAAGCCGGUCUCAGUUCGGAUCGGGGUCUGCAACUCGACCCCGUGAAGUCGGAGUCGCUAGUAAUCGCAGAUCAGCAACGCUGCGGUGAAUACGUUCCCGGGCCUUGUACGCACCGCCCGUCACGUCAUGAAAGUCGGUAACACCCGAAGCCAGUGGCCUAAACUCGUUAGGGAGCUGUCGAGGGUGGGAUUGGCGAUUGGGACGAAGUCGUAACAAGGUAGCCGU